UUUUCUGCAGAAAAUUCUGAUUUUUGCAUUCUUGUACAAUUGGUUCUUCAUCUGAUUAUCAUUCAGAAGAGUUUUUUUUUUUUUUAUUUGUGGGAUCAGUCCACUGAUUCCUCCCCUUCAUUGACAGAGACAUCCAGUGUCUCCAACAAGGCAUCAACAACCUCUCUGAUUCCCUCUCCUCCUUAGCUGAAGUCAUCUUCCAAAAUCGUGAUUUACUCUUUUUAUAGCAGGGAGGGCUGUGUGCAGCUCUAAAUGAAAAAUGUUGCUUUUAUGUAGACAGGACAGGGACAGUCAAAGAAAGCAUGAGAAAAGUCAGAGAAGGCCUAGAGAAGAGAGAGAGAGAGAGAGAGAGAGAGAGAGAAGAAAGCUGAUAUAAAAAUUGGUUUUCAACCUCUCCAUGGUUGUUAACCCUACUUCCUUCCAUUUUGGGAUCAUUAGUUGGGUUGUUUUUCUUUCUUUCUUUUGGUCCUUGGGCCUUUAACACACUUACUAAGUUUGUGAAAUGUCAUAAAGAUGGUUUGGCAGCGAAACCUAUCCAGGUACAUUAUCAUAAGUUAGCUAUGGAGGACCAAGAGACUCAAAACGGAGUUGAUAUUCCAUCCAGGGUGUUUGCCAAACCCAUCUCCACCCAACCUAAAAAAUGGUACUCCUGCCCUUGGACCAAGUAGAGAAGGAACACCCAGAACCCCCUCUGACUGGUGAUAUAAGUCCUUGCUUGAGGUGAGAGGCAAACCACUGCAAGGGAAUAUAAAGCAAAAACUAAAAAUAUCUUUCUGGGUUCCCUGAGGGACAAGCCUGACUGCAUAGGGGUUGAUGUCCAAAUUAUCCCCUCUCCAGGAAAAAUACAUCAGGAUGAGUAUGGUCUCAUAGACAACACCAGGAGGACUGGAGCUAUUACAAGGUCCUCUUUAGUCACUGAAGGUCAGUCUCUAUCCCUGCCUUGGCAAAGAUUAAAAUCGCCACUAUCCUCUAUACAAAGAAAAUGGGGGAGAUGUUGGGAGCAUCCUUAACUGCCUUGUCAGCCAUAAGUGCUUACUGGUACAAAGUCUUGGCUUCUGUGGAAAAGUACUAGCCUAGUUGAGAACAAAUAGCUAUAGAUCUUGAGAACAGGUACCUAGCAACCCAUUAUGUUCUGUUCUUCCUGCUGAAUUUUUACCCAGCCAAUAUCCUGUUCUUCAGAACAGGUGCAUUCCCCAGGGACAAAACAACCCUACUUCACCCCCCCCUUACCCAAUAUCCUGCUUCUAUGAGUAUAUAAUCUGUGUGGGAAUAAAAAAAAAUUGUCAGCUUGA
rnacentral:lncRNA from 1 species